GUCAUUCUAGGCACAUUUUUCACAAAUAUGGAAAAACUCCUUUUUGCAAUACCUCAAUUUUUCACAUUGUGAAAGUGCUGAGGACUCUUUACAACUAAGCACGCACUUGCUUGUGUUGACGCGACAAAUCUGCAGAGGAGAGAUCAAAGUGUAUUGCUUAAGGUCUUGGCUCUUGUACACUAGAUUUUAAUGGCAGCCCUAGAUUCGGAAAUGAUCUGACAGCAGCAUGGUAAGAACACGUUGUCGUUCAUGUUAAUAUUGCGCAAAAUGGCUAAAAGAUAACCUUGUCUUUUUGGUUUCCUCUCCAAAGCUGGAAUAUAAACUUCUAAUAUAAGGAGAAUGCUAAAUCUGGUUCAUGUUUAGGCUGAUCCUCGUAUCAAAAGAAUGGAUGUUUGAUGUUUAGAUAUUUUAACAUUUGAAAAUAUAUAUUCUUGAACUGCCAACUAGUUCCUAUUGUAAUCCUUAGCAUGCAUGAUGAGAAAAAAAAAAACCGUACAUGAAUUAGCUAUU